GAUGAACGCUGGCGGCGUGCCUAAUACAUGCAAGUCGAGCGAACAGAUAAGGAGCUUGCUCCUUUGACGUUAGCGGCGGACGGGUGAGUAACACGUGGGUAACCUACCUAUAAGACUGGGAUAACUUCGGGAAACCGGAGCUAAUACCGGAUAACAUUUGGAACCGCAUGGUUCUAAAGUGAAAGAUGGUUUUGCUAUCACUUAUAGAUGGACCCGCGCCGUAUUAGCUAGUUGGUAAGGUAACGGCUUACCAAGGCGGCGAUACGUAGCCGACCUGAGAGGGUGAUCGGCCACACUGGAACUGAGAGACGGUCCAGACUCCUACGGGAGGCAGCAGCAGGGACUCUUCCGCAAUGGGCGAAAGCCUGACGGAGCAACGCCGCGUGAGUGCUGAAGGGUUUCGGCUCGUAAAACUCUGUUAUUAGGGAAGAACAAAUGUGUAAGUAACUGUGCACGUCUUGACGGUACCUAAUCAGAAAGCCACGGCUAACUACGUG
rnacentral:rRNA from 1 species